rnacentral:rRNA from 1 species
UGCAAGUCGAACGCAGUAGCAAUACUGAGUGGCGAACGGGUGAGUAUAAUGUGGGUAUCUGCCUUUUGGUUUGGAAUAACACGAGGAAACUUGUGCUAAUACCGGAUAAGCCUUCACAGGGAAAGUUUUAUACGCCAAAAGAUGAGCCCGCACUUGAUUAGCUAGUUGGUAAGGUAAUGGCUUACCAAGGCUACGAUCAAUAGCUGAUCUGAGAGGAUGAUCAGCCACAUUGGGACUGAGACACGGCCCAAACUUCUACGGAAGGCAGCAGUGGGGAGUCUUGCACAAUGGGGGAAACCCUGAUGCAGCGAUGCCGCGUGAGUGAAGAAGGCCUUUGGGUUGUAAAGCUCUUUCGUCGGGGAAGAAAAUGACUGUACCCGAAUAAGAAGGUCCGGCUAACUUCGUGCCAGCAGCCGCGGUAAUACGAAGGGACCUAGCGUAGUUCGGAAUUACUGGGCUUAAAGAGCACGUAGGUGGUUGAGAAAGUUGGUGGUGAAAUCCCAAGGCUUAACCUUGGAACUGCCAUCAAAACUUUUUAACUAGAGUAUGAUUGAGGUAAGCGGAAUUUCUAGUGUAGAGGUGAAAUUCGUAGAUAUUAGAAAGAACACCAAUUGCGAAGGCAGCUUUCUAGAUCAUUACUGACACUGAGGUGCGAAAGCAUGGGUAGCGAAGAGGAUUAGAUACCCUCGUAGUCCAUGCCGUAAACGAUGUGUGCUAGACGUUGGAAAUUUAUUUUUCAGUGUCGCAGCAAAAGCGUUAAGCACACCGCCC